rnacentral:misc_RNA from 1 species
AACACUGUUAACCUGCGGUACCUGCGGAGGGAUCAUUACCGAGUUUACAACUCCCAAACCCCUGUGAACAUACCAAUUGUUGCCUCGGCGGAUCGGCCCGCUCCCGGUAAAACGGGACGGCCCGCCAGAGGACCCCUAAACUCUGUUUCUAUAUGUAACUUCUGAGUAAAACCAUAAAUAAAUCAAAACUUUCAACAAUGGAUCU